GGUGAAGAGGUGGGCAGAGCUGUCGUUUCUCAGGUUUGUUUCUGCACACAUGCAACUCAUUACCUUCAUCAGUACUAGGUACUUAAGGACCGGCUGUGGCAGUGUCUCCACCAGAUCGUCGCCUCCACUUUGGUGGUAAAUCGGCCAACCUCGUGUAACUGAGAUUUUUGUAAGUUUCGUAAAGUAACUCUUGUGUUUGAUCUGCUUCCCAGUUUACCUCCUGGAGUUCUUGCUUUACUGCUUUUGAAACCUCCCUGCUGCCUGUAGUGGAGUCAAAAGACCACAGUCGGACUUGUUCUUCAGCUGCAUUCAUGUUCUCUGACUUUCUUUGGAAAUAAGGAUUUACCAGCCUGCCUACCAGCUACCCCUCCCUUGGCUCACGCUUCUCGCUGGACAAAACACAACCAAAGGGGAGAUGUUUGGCCAUAAGGCACAGCACAAAAACCUCAUAUCAACUGUCAGCACAAUGAAGGAGGGCUGAUGAUUUGGUCUCGUAUCGCAGCCAUGGGACCUGGGCACCUCGCAGUCAAAGAGUCAACCAUGAACUCCUCUGCAUGCCAAAGUUCUCUAAGGUAAAAUGUGCGGCCAUCUGUAUGAAAGCUUGGCCCAAACUGGCUCAUGCAAGAGGACGAUGAUCCCAAGAACAACAGCAAAUGUACAACUCAGUGGGAGAAAAAAAUAGAAAAGAAUCACGGUUUUGCAAUGACAAAUUCAAAGUCCAGACUUCAAGAACAUAAGAGAGCACAUAGUUAAACACCUGCAAACCACAAUGAACUGAAGCAACCCUGUAAAGAAGACCGGGCAAAAAUUCAUCCACAACCACGCAAGAGACUGAAAACAUCAUACAGAAAACAAUCAACUUAUUGCUUAUAUAAAGGUGGUUCUACAAGCUAGUUAAUAACUGGCUGUACUAAACUUGCUUUUUCACACAACACUAUCAUUCUAUAUCGUCUUUCAAAUGCUCUAACUUGUUCUGAGUAGCCACCUAUCCCACUUGUUGAUCCAAGUCUUGAAAUUUAACCUAAAAGGUACUUUUGAAGUUUCCACCUGUGAAUUAUUAGAAAAUAGGUCAAACAUUCAUUGCAUCAAUGGCUGUUUGUGUUCCUCUACAUCAGAGACAAUA